rnacentral:telomerase_RNA from 1 species
CAUGCUCUCCUCUUCUACCGCGUGACCCCUCCCCGCAGCAGGGCCGCAUCACAGCGUGCGGUUCUCAUUAACCCUACAUGUAUCAGCGAGGGAUGCCAAUCAUCCCUUGCCCGCGUACGGGGGCUUGCGGCUGAGUUUCACCCCUGGAGUAGUCGCUUCGCUGGCGACUAGCUUCCAAAGCAAGCUUAGUAGGGAGGGGUCGAGCAGAGGAUCGAAGAAGACCAUGGGCCGAGGGGGGUAGGAUCCUGCAUCAGAGCCGGGAUGGCGAGAUGCAAGCAAUGUCCAGGACAUGCGUCCUGCCCGAGUCCGGGCCUAGUUGGCCACAGGAACAUGCUGCAUAUUGC